rnacentral:rRNA from 1 species
UAUACAUGCAAGUCGAGCGGACCGACGGGAGCUUGCUCCCUUAGGUCAGCGGCGGACGGGUGAGUAACACGUGGGUAACCUGCCUGUAAGACUGGGAUAACUCCGGGAAACCGGGGCUAAUACCGGAUGCUUGAUUGAACCGCAUGGUUCAAUCAUGAAAGGCGGCUUCGGCUGCCGUUUACAGAUGGACCCGCGGCGCAUUAGCUAGUUGGUGAGGUAACGGCUCACCAAGGCGACGAUGCGUAGCCGACCUGAGAGGGUGAUCGGCCACACUGGGACUGAGACACGGCCCAGACUCCUACGGGAGGCAGCAGUAGGGAAUCUUCCGCAAUGGACGAGAGUCUGACGGAGCAACGCCGCGUGAGUGAUGAAGGUUUUCGGAUCGUANAGCUCUGUUGUUAGGGAAGAACAAGUACCGUUCGAAUAGGGCGGUACCUUGACGGUACCUAACCAGAAAGCCACGGCUAACUACGUGCCAGCAGCCGCGGUAAUACGUAGGUGGGCAGCGUUGUCCGGAAUUAUUGGGCGU